rnacentral:rRNA from 1 species
UACGUAGGGGGCAAGCGUUGUCCGGAAUUAUUGGGCGUAAAGAGCGCGUAGGCGGUCCGAUAAGUCGGCUCUGAAAGUCCAGGGCUCAACCCUGGAAAGCGGGUGGAUACUGCCGGGCUCGAAUCCGGAAGAGGCGAGUGGAAUUCCUGGUGUAGCGGUGGAAUGCGCAGAUAUCAGGAGGAACACCAAUAGCGAAGGCAGCUCGCUGGGACGGUAUUGACGCUAAGGCGCGAAAGCGUGGGGAGCAAACAGG